AAGCCAGGUUGACUUCACUUGCCUUAAGCCUGUAAAACCCGGGCUCAGGACCUGGGGGCGGGCAGCCUUUGGGGUUUAUGAUGCCAGAAACUGCCUGACCCUGCUUCCUCUUCCGGGCUCUGCCACGGACUUUGCUGCAACCCUUGACAAGUCCAUCACUUCCCAUCACCAUUUCCUGCCCAGGCAGAAGUGGAGUGCAAGUCUCACAGGAGUCUUGUGCAAGAUCGGGGAUGGACAGUUACAGCCUGCUGAGGGCUUUGGAUGGAUGACAGGGCAGAAGGGGAAAUGCAGAGGAAUGGGACCAACUUCUCUGGACCCACACCAGUGAUUCAGGCUUGUAGAGAUGCCCUGAAACGUGGCCUUGCUAUCCAAGCCCCCUAGUCUUUGUCUUGAACAUGCAUUAUUCUUACCAGAGUCAGCCAUCCCCAGAGCGCUGUGGUGCUAUAAUAAAAUUUGAUUCCUUUGCUCUAACGUGGCAGGGUGGUUCCCUCUCCCGCUCACCUCCCGGAGCCUGGUUGGAGUCCAGUACGAACCGCCUGCCUUCACGCCGCUUACUCCAGAGCUGAAGCUCUAGGCCCCACUUAGCACACGUCCAUCCACACAGGGCUGAAGGGGCACCUGGAGCUUUGUAGCAGUUGUGGCCCUCUGAGGAUGCUGCAGAGGCGGCAGUUCCUGCAGGACGGAGACCUCGAGGUAGUAACCUGUCUUACCUCUGGUGUCUGAGCUGAAUAUCUUGCUCUCAACUCUCAGCAUGAAGCUGUUGCCCAUGACAUUCCUCCAACCAACCACGUGGGUAGCUUAGUACUGACAUGGUGAGUUGGAAGAAAGUCACGAGUGACUUGAAUGCCAAGAGAGUUGAGGGACCGUAGCGCACACAAGCCAGGACCAUGGUAGUUUGGGAUAUGGGGCACAGAAGUGAAUUGCCAUUCAAGGCCCUGUAGUAGCUGGUCCUUGGAGGAUGGAAUGGGGGAGCUGGGGAAACUGCCCAUUCCCCUCUGUCUCUGCUGCACCGGUGAAAACACCCUGUGUGUCUGACGGUUCCCUGGCUCUGGAGUAAGGCUGCUGAACAAGCCGGGGUUUGUUUUUCCUUUCACUCCCAGGCUGUGGGUUUGGCUCUGAAAGGCAACCGCUGCAUCUGAAACAUAACAGAGAGUAUAAGGUACAAGGAGUGUACAAAUCACAGGAGUCACCAACAGCGUUACACGCCAUGGCUGGUUCUGCCUGCCCAGCCCAAGUCAUCAGUGAAGACAGUUGCUUGAGCUCUGACUCAGCCCUUGGCAUCAGGUCGUAGCUGUGCAUGAGAAAUUGCAAACUCAAGAAAUGAUGGACCUUUCCCUAGAAACCAAAUGCACAUGAGAAAGUUGAGUCAAUUGUUGGGGUGUUUUUUUUCCCUUUGGUAGAUAUCAACUCCUGCUGCUUCACACUCAAAUGCUUCAAUACUAUUAUUCGUGAGGGGGGAUAAAAUGCUAUUUCUGGCAGCUGGUACCAUGGCAGCACCUGCAGCCUCUGGACUGCUGAAAGCUUCCUACAAUUGUUUAUAAAGGAAUCGGCUAGGAGUAAGGAUGGGAUCUUGUUCUUUACUCUGGAACUGAAGUAUUGUGAUGUUAACUCCCUGCAGGCUGGUUGCAAAGAGGAUGGAGCUGGACUGUUCUCAGAGCAAGGAGCAACGGGUUCAAGUUGCAGCAAGGAAGGUUUAGGUUGGAUGUUCAGAAAAACUUUCUCACUAGAAGGGUGGUGAAGCACUGGAUACCCAGAGAGGUUGUAGAGUCUCCACCCUUGGAGGUUUUUGACCCAGCUAGACACAGCCUUGGCUGGGAUGAUGUGGUUGGGGCUGCUCCUGCUCUGAGCAGGAGCUUGAACUAGAUGCAACCUCCUGAGGUCCCUUCCAGCCCUCAUUGCUAUGGAUCUGUGAAAGCCUGGGUCUGCCCGGAUUUGUCAAUCGACACUUUCUUUUCUGACCCCCCUUUCUCCAAUGCUAUAUGUGCAGUGUAUCUAAUGCCAAGCACGGCCUCUGAUGUAGCUACAGAGGCUGAUUGCCUACAGCAGGAAGCACUGGGUUGUGGAAACUGAGCAGCUCUGAUCUCCCCGCAUCUAUGAUGGAGUCUGCCGAGAGUCUGGAGAGGACAGCGAGCCUCCGUCAGCGCUGACCAGAAGCCUCAGAUGUUCAGGAAGUGGAACCGGCGGGAAGCUGUCUUGAGAUCUUAUCACAUCACACGACAAGCUUGAGGCAAAUCCUGGGUGGUUGAUUUUUUUUUUUGAUUUUUUUUUUACCUCGGUUCCAAGAACAGAACCGGUCGCGCAGAAAAAAAAAAGGGGCCACAGAGGGCAUUGGAAAACCACGUGCGUGCUCGCAAUCCCCUCUUGUGCUUGCCACCCGGCCGCCCCUCCACACGCAGGGUUAACUCCUGGGUCCUUGCUUUGCCCAACUUGAGACAUGUAGAGCUUGACUUUUUUUCCAAGGUCUGAGCACCCACGGUUAAGGCCACAGUCAGUGGAAGCCCAGAAUUAAAGGCCACCUUUUAGCAGAAACAAUCUUGUCAAUCCCAGCUACAGCCGCUCCGAACUCAACAUCCAAAAGUAACCCGAUGUUGCCUGAGAGAAGGCUGUAUCCAAGGUAGUGAGGCUGGCUUUGAAUGGCAGUUGUAUUUAGCACCGUUAGGUCUUUUUAAAACAAGAGCUCUGGUUCUAGUUCUUUUCCCUGUCUCCAGUCCCCACAAAUACAAAGCAGAUAACUUUUGGAGCUGGGACAAUAACCUGCUUCAGAAACUGUUUUUCCCAUGUGAGACACGGUGAGUCUUAUCCAUGGGUCUUCCAGCCACUAAGUAGGGCUGCAGCACCUGUUCCUCAAGGGAAUUAUGCUUUACAGAUGGGGAACUGAAGUGCAGAGAGGCUGACAUCCCUCUGCAAGUCUGGGCUGAGUUAUACAAAGCACUUAUGGCCACUAGGUUAGUUUUUUUGUUGUUUUUUUUUUUCCCCCUCCCUUCUGUGGCUUCCUCUUUUUUUUUUUUUUAUCUCUUUCUCCAAUGAAAGCUGUUAUUGACUGGUUUCCCCUUUCUUCUCUCUCUGAAAUCGUGUUCCCCGAGCGAUCACUGGUCCAAAGAUCAAAGGCUGCAGUCAUGGAAGCGGUUUGCCUGGAGCCAGCCUGGACAGCAGGAGAACUGCCACGCUAAGGCUGAGAGAAGAGGAGACUUCUUGAUACAAAGACCCAGGCCUCCCCUGAGCUGCUCUGACUGCAGGUGAGCUGGCCUGCCAGUACUUCACUGUCCGCCAUGUCAGAGCUGGAGGACGACGAGACUUGCUGGCACCGCUUGGAGAGCUUCCGGGUGAAGCUUAUCUCAGUGAUUGAGCCCUCCCGGCUCACGCCCUACCUCCGGCAAUGCAAGGUGAUCAGCCACGACGACGAGGAGCAGGUGCUUAAUGACCCCAGCCUCGUCAUCCGCAAGCGGAAAGCAGGUGUCCUCCUGGAUAUACUCCAAAGGACGGGACAGAAGGGCUUCGAGGCAUUCCUGGAAAGCCUGGAGCUGUACUACCCCCAGCUCUAUAAGAAGAUCACGGGCAAGGAUCCCAGCAGGGUCUUCUCUCUGAUCCUAGACAAUGCCGGGGAGUCGGGCCUGAGCCAGCUGCUGAUGAACGAGAUCACCAAGCUGCAGGGUGCCGUGCAGGAGGAAAGGAGGAAGGCGCAGGAGCUGAGCCUGUGGCUGCGUGCCAAGGAGGACCUGCUCAAGGAGAUGCGAGUGCGGGACAGCCUGCUGCGCAAGCACCAAGAGCGGGCCCAGAAGAUGAAGGAGGAACGGGACAGCCUCAGCCAGGAGCUGCGCAGGGCCAAGGAUGACAACUAUGACCUGGCUAUGAGCUACGCCAAGCAGAGCGAGGAGAAGAGCACGGCCCUCAUGAGGAACCGUGACCUGCAGCUGGAGGUCGACCGGCUGCGGCACAACCUGAUGAAGGCAGAGGAUGACUGUAACCUGGAACGGAAGCACACGAUGAAGCUGAAGCACGCCAUGGAGCAGCGCCCGAGCCAUGAGGUGGUGUGGGAGAUCCAGCGGGAGAAGGAGCUGCUGCUGGCCAAGAACCAGGAGCUGGAGAACACGCUGCAGGUGGCCACAGUGGGGAGCUCAGAGAAGAGCAGCCUAUACGUUCAGGCCCUGGAAGAGCGGCAGGAGCUUGUGGAAACCAUCUACAGCCUACGCAAGCAGCUGCGCCAAGCCGAGGUGUUGCAGGACAAGCAUAAUGUGGAGAAGGAGCUGCUGGAGCUGCAGAGCCUGGCGCUGAAGAAGGACUUGCAGAUGUACAAGGACCGCAUCGAGUCCAUCCUGAAGCAGAUGGAGGAGGUGGCUGCAGAGAGGGACCAGGCACUGCUGACCCGUGAGCAGUUCCACACGCAGUUCUCUAAGAGCCUGGUGGAGAAGGAUGCCUACCGCAAGCAGGUCCGGGAGCUGGGGGAGCGGUGCGAUGAGCUGCAGCUCCAGCUGUUCCAGAAGGAGAGCCAGCUCCUAGCCAUGGAGGCCAAGCUGCGCCUGGAGCCCCAUGCGUUGACCUCUGACCCGGACGACACCUCCUCCUGGAGCUCCCAGGAGCUUUCUCUGCCCAGAAACCUGGAGCACCCGCAGCUCUCUGAUAAGAAAGACCGCCUGGAGGGGCAGGACCAGCCAUUUAGUGACUUGGAGAGCACAUCGCUGUUGCAGGCGCCAAAUGACCGCAGCCCACCCAACGGGGAGCUGCCGGAGAAGGAGCGGCGGCGGAUGAAGGACAGCUUUGAGCAUUACCGAAGGUCUGGUCUGUGCUUUAAGGACCGCUUGUGCCACGGUUGUGUGAUCUGCUGACCAGUGUGGGUGGUGUCCCCCUCCGCGCUUGGUCGGUGGAGGAGACGAGCGCGCUACCUCCUGCCUUAGCUCAGGCCCUCGAGGUCCCGCAUCGGCUCUGACCGAGGAGGUCGAGAAUGACGCGAGGUCGUAAAUGCCUAGGCAGCUUCACCCCCUUUUACUGAUCCUCACAGUACAGGAGCUGCUCGUGCAACAGGGUUGCAUCCUGCCGCCCUUGAGGUCCCAGGCUCCCUUUAGCACGUCUGGGAGCCGGUGAUGCGCCCGAUCCACAAAACGCCACGUGCCUCUGCCUGCCUUGGGACCCUCCUGGCCGCGGAUGGCACUGGGCACGUAGCACGGACGCCAGACUAAAACCGGUUUGUCGGUAUGGAGGAAAUAUCCGUCCCGGCCCGCGCUGCGUGCUGGAGGGCUGCCGUGCUCGAAACGUGCCCCAGAUUCGUGCAGGCGGUGACAGGCAGGACCGCGCGCCGACAUUUGCCCUAGGCAGAGUUAGGCCCUCGGGGUUGCCGUGCCGGGGGGUCGAGCGGCCCCGCACGCAAACCGAGUCGAUCCCCGGGGGCUGCGGGCGGUGCCCGGGGCUCCCGGGGCCGUGCCGAGGCGGGGGGCGCGCGGGCAGGGCCGCCCCGUAAAGGAAGGGUCUCGUCCCGU